AUUAAGGCCACCAUUAAACACAUUGAAGACUCUGAUGAUUGGUGGUAUCCUGCGUGCAAAUGCAAUCGGUCACUUAUUCAACGGAGCAAGUUGUACUAUUGUGAAAGUUGCAAACACCACCUUUUGACAGCAAUCCCAAGAUACCGAAUAAAGAUCCGGGCUACUGAUGAAAGUGACUUUGUAUCCUUGGUUAUAUUUGAUGAAGAGGGAUCUCUGAUAUUAAACAGAACAUGUUCUGAGUUCAUUGACAUACUUGAUAAGAACAAUACCUUGCACAUUCCUCCGGCACAACUGCUUGAAUUGGUGGAUAAGACAUUCUUAUUCAAGGUUGAGAUAAAAAAAGAAAAAAACUCUAAGUAUGAAGCAUGCUAUCGUGUUAACAGACUUACAGAUGAUGC